rnacentral:lncRNA from 1 species
AGAUUAUACUACUGCCUGUAGUGUAGCUGCUGGAGUUUGACUAACACCUAAAUAUGGGUCUUAAUGAGCCCUAGUAGUGGAUGUUGGUAAUAGUUGGUCCAUUGUAAAGGUAGGGUACACAUCAAGAUGGGAUCUAUUAAUCUUGAUAGAAAAGAGUAGUCCUAUGGGAUUUGAGAAGCUAAGUCUAAGAAUCUGUGGCCACAAUAGUAUGAUUGAUGGAAAAGAGUUUUCAUAGAAGUCACAACUGG